GGUUUCCGUAGGUGAACCUGCGGAAGGAUCAUUAACGAUUGCUACUCACGCAAAAGACAAAACGACGUAUGGUUAACGCCAAGAAACUCCUGACGAGUUCAGGAAGGAUGAUUCCUUUCUCGCUCUAGAGAAGGAAGUGCCAUCGUGGUCGUGGUGCGUCUGCACUGCGAACGAUGUAAAACAAACACCCUGUGGCCCCUCAUAUAGUAUAAUAUCGCUCGCCAUGGUAUACAGGCCUGGCAUCUGGUACGAGUCUCUCGCAGUCUCAAAACCAACCUUACAACUCUGAGCGGUGGAUCACUUGGCUUGUGGAUGCUAUGAAGACCAUAGCUAAGUGUGAGAAUGGCAGCGAGCCGUCGCUAUAUGCGCUGUCCUCUUCUUAUCACAUGUCGAAUGCACAUUGCGCCCCACCCAGUGGUCGGCUAACCUCCUGCAGACAAAAGCCUGUGCGUUUGGGACAAAGGCGGUGUGUGGCCCUCGAGCAACGGCGGGGGAGCCAGGAGCACAUUUGCGUGCGGACCAACCACUCGUUAGUAGUCAGGCUGAACCCUAUGGUGGGGCACUCCUAGUGGAGUGUGGUGGAUCGGACUCUUGUCUCUUAUUGUGCUUUUUUGCACGUGGGAGUUUGAGUUACUUUGUUGCUGGAGGCUAUUUGGGUCGACAUCAGUCGUGCCCGUAAACAACUGCCUUGGCUCGUGCCUCUGUGCGUUCAUCUCACGUGGGUGCGCAUAUUGAAAGGCCAUAGCUGGCGAUCAAUCUUGCGACCAGGGCACUACAUUUGCCAUGUAAAUGGCGGUAGUGCGCAGAGGUCCAAAAGGGAAUGGUAACACGAGAGUCGGGUCUCUGGUGCUCUGUCAAGCUCAUGCACAGUAAAUGCUGCUUGGGUUUCGAGGAGUCUGCGUUAUAAGCACUUCUGGUAAAGGUUCGUUUUUCGUACUAUUCGAGAUUAAUACGAUCCUCACUUCUUUCUUGUUCACACGCACAUGCGUACAGACUGGCAAACAAAGAAACGCCUGACGAGUUCAGGAGAGUGUGAACGAAAAGUAACAGAAUUGCAAGCAGCUUCCAGCCUAUGAAAGGUUGUAGCCGUGUUGCUGGCUUGGAAUGAGAGAGACCCGCCUACUCGUGUCUGUAAGCUCCACCACCUCGACUUAGGAGAGGUUACCCGCUGAACUUAAGCAUAUCAGUAAGCGGAGGAAAAGAAACCAAUCAGGGAUUCCCUUAGUAGGGGCGACCGAAACGGGAUGAGCCCAGCGCAGAACCUCCCGGGCCACCCGGCCUGCGGCGGAAUGUUGCGUUAAGGGAAAGGUCGUAGUCAAACCCCACAGCCACGCGAGCACUAAGUAAGCCACGAAUUGGCUAUCCCAACUAACGGCGGGAAAAUCUCCACGGAGGGUGUAAGACCCGUUUGGGCGCGUGUAAAUGCUGUGUGGGCUCGGCCUCUUUUCCCUGAGAGUCGCGUUGCUUGAGCAUGCAGCGCUAAGCAGGUCGUAAACUCGAUCUAAGGCUAAAUAUGUCCACAAGACCGAUAGCGAACAAGUACCGUGAGGGAAAGUUGAAAAGCACUCUGAAGAGAGAGUCAAAAGACC
rnacentral:rRNA from 1 species